rnacentral:lncRNA from 1 species
UCCAACACGGGCUCCGGCCUCGGAGAAACGGGAAAGGGCAAAAAAGCCCCCGGCGCGUCCCCCUCUGAAAGCCGGCGCCUUUCCCGGCCCGGGCCGGGCCGCGGGGAGCCCGGAGGACGCUUCCGUCGCCGUUACCCACCCUGCCCCAACGCGGGGCGAGGACCGGAAACGCCAGCGUCCGGGCAGCGUUCAAACAACAGAGGAAAGCUCGCUCUUGGGCGUCCCAACGUUCCCAAGCUGCAAAAGCGAACGAUCACCUUGAAAAUCGUACGCUUGGUACGUGCCACAGUUCCUGCCACGGCCAUCUUGGUACCAGCGGAUAUCGAGGGCCCGCGUGCGUCACGUCACCGGGGCUUGUGUGCAUCACCGAUGGGACUUGUGUGUGUCCCAUCACCGAUGGGCCUCGCGUGCGUCACGUCACUGGGGCUUGUGUGCAUCACCGAUGGGACUUGUGUGUGUCCCAUCACCGAUGGGCCUCGCGUGCAUCACCGAUGGGCCUCGCGUGCGUCACGUCACUGGGGCUUGUGUGCAUCACCGAUGGGACUUGUGUGUGUCCCAUCACCGAUGGGCCUCGCGUGCAUCACCGAUGGGCCUCGCGUGCGUCACGUCACUGGGGCUUGUGUGCAUCACCGAUGGG